CACUCCUGCGGGAGGCAGCAGUGGGGAAUAUUGCACAAUGGGCGCAAGCCUGAUGCAGCCAUGCCGCGUGUAUGAAGAAGGCCUUCGGGUUGUAAAGUACUUUCAGCGGGGAGGAAGGCGAUAAGGUUAAUAACCUUGUUGAUUGACGUUACCCGCAGAAGAAGCACCGGCUAACUCCGUGCCAGCAGCCGCGGUAAUACGGAGGGUGCAAGCGUUAAUCGGAAUUACUGGGCGUAAAGCGCACGCAGGCGGUCUGUCAAGUCGGAUGUGAAAUCCCCGGGCUCAACCUGGGAACUGCAUUCGAAACUGGCAGGCUAGAGUCUUGUAGAGGGGGGUAGAAUUCCAGGUGUAGCGGUGAAAUGCGUAGAGAUCUGGAGGAAUACCGGUGGCGAAGGCGGCCCCCUGGACAAAGACUGACGAUCAGGUGCGAAAGCGUGGAGAGCAAACAGGAUUAGAUACCCCAGUAGUCCCAUGA
rnacentral:rRNA from 1 species